rnacentral:misc_RNA from 1 species
GUGAAUCAUCGAAUUUUUGAACGCAAAUUGCACUUUCUGGUAUUCCGGAAAGUAUGCCUGUUUGAGGGUCAGUGAAAUAUUAAUCGGUGUUUUUGCUGCCUUUCGUGGUGACACGUCGGAAUUGGGUCGUGUUACCUGCGGUUAAGUGACUUAAAAUUUUUGCAUGUUUUUCUAACGUAUUUAAAUCGUGUACGUACGCUUGAGAUAUCGAUUGCUUAUUGGGUUUGGUGCUUCCUAUGAUUCGUGG